rnacentral:rRNA from 1 species
UACGGAGGAUCCGAGCGUUAUCCGGAUUUAUUGGGUUUAAAGGGAGCGUAGGUGGAUUGUUAAGUCAGUUGUGAAAGUUUGCGGCUCAACCGUAAAAUUGCAGUUGAAACUGGCAGUCUUGAGUACAGUAGAGGUGGGCGGAAUUCGUGGUGUAGCGGUGAAAUGCUUAGAUAUCACGAAGGACUCCGAUUGCGAAGGCAGCUCACUGGACUGCAACUGACACUGAGGCUCGAAAGUGUGGGUAUCAAACAGG